rnacentral:rRNA from 1 species
UAGGGAAUCUUCGGCAAUGGGGGGAACCCUGACCGAGCAACGCCGCGUGAGUGAAGAAGGUUUUCGGAUCGUAAAGCUCUGUUGUUAAGGAAGAACGAGUGUGAGAAUGGAAAGUUCAUGCUGUGACGGUACUUAACCAGAAAGGGACGGCUAACUACGUGCCAGCAGCCGCGGUAAUGCGUAGGUCCCGAGCGUUGUUCGGAUUUAUUGGGCGUAAAGCGAGCGCAGGCGGUUAGAAAGUUCUGAAGUGAAAGGCAGUGGCUCAACCAUUGUAGGCUUUGGAAACUGUUUAACUUGAGUGCAGAAGGGGAAGAUGGAAUUCCAUAUGUAGCGGUGAAAUGCGUAGAUAUAUGGAGGAACACCGGUAGCGAAAGCUGCUCUCUGGUCUGUGACUGACGCUGAGGCUCGAAAGCGUGGGGAGCGAACAGG